rnacentral:rRNA from 1 species
GAACGGCAGCGCGGGGCAACCUGGCGGCGAGUGGCGAACGGGUGAGUAAUAUAUCGGAACGUACCCUGGAGUGGGGGAUAACGUAGCGAAAGUUACGCUAAUACCGCAUACGAUCUAAGGAUGAAAGUGGGGGAUCGCAAGACCUCAUGCUCCUGGAGCGGCCGAUAUCUGAUUAGCUAGUUGGUAGGGUAAAAGCCUACCAAGGCAUCGAUCAGUAGCUGGUCUGAGAGGACGACCAGCCACACUGGAACUGAGACACGGUCCAGACUCCUACGGGAGGCAGCAGUGGGGAAUUUUGGACAAUGGGCGCAAGCCUGAUCCAGCAAUGCCGCGUGAGUGAAGAAGGCCUUCGGGUUGUAAAGCUCUUUUGUCAGGGAAGAAACGGUGGAGGCUAAUAUCCUUUGCUAAUGACGGUACCUGAAGAAUAAGCACCGGCUAACUACGUG